GCCUGAGUAGCUCAGUCGGUAGAGCAACUGGCUGUUAACCAGUGGGUCCUUGGUUCGAGUCCAUGCUCAGGCGCCA
rnacentral:tRNA from 1 species